rnacentral:lncRNA from 1 species
CGGCUACCACCAGAGCCGUUGGAACUACCGGGACGAGGCUGAUGUGCUGGAAGUGGAUCAGGGCUUUGAUGAUCACAACCUGCCCUGUGAUGUCAUCUGGCUAGACAUUGAACAUGCUGAUGGCAAGCGGUAUUUCACCUGGGACCCCAGUCGCUUCCCUCAGCCCCGCACCAUGCUUGAGCACUUGGCUUCUAAGAGGCGGAAGGUAAGGGGUUGCAGUCACGCUUGGUCUAGUCCGGGCGUGGUGGCUCACGCCUGUAAUCCUAGCACUUUGGGAGGCCGAGGAGAGCGGAUUGCCUGAGCUCAGGAGUUCGAGACCAGCCUGAUCAACACGGUGAAAUCCCGUCUCUACUAAAAUAAAAAAAAUUAGCCUGGUAUGGUGGUGUGCGCCUGUAGUCCCAGUUACUCGGGAGGCUGAGGCAGGAGAAUUGCUUGAACCCAGGAGGUAGAGGUUGCAGUGAGCCGAGAUUGCUCUGCUGCACUCCAGCCUGGGUGACAGAGGGAGACUCCGUCUCAAAAAAAUGAAAAAAAAAAAAAAAAGCGUUUUGAGAAGAAGGCUGUGUGAGAUGAGGCCUGAAUGAAUGGGACAGACCAUGUUAGGUAGGAAGAGUCUUCCAAGUAGAGGGAAUUGCAAGUACAAAAAUUCUAAAGGAGAAAUUAGUUUGUUAUGUACUAGGAAUAGAAAAAAACAGUGUGUCUUGGGUAAAGAAGCAGAAGGAGAGCUAGGAGAUGAGAUUAAGAAGAAAGUGUGAUCUGCUCCUGGGGGGCCUUGCAAGCCAGGGUUGCAACCCAGGGUUGUAAGCCAGGGCGGUGAAACAUGCAAGGAGGCUACUGGCAGGCUGCUGUGCAGCAUGGUUUCAGUAGAGGGCAGAGAAGAAGCAGGGAGAUGGCUUAGGAAGUUAAAU